rnacentral:rRNA from 1 species
GAUGAACGCUAGCGGCAGGCCUAAUACAUGCAAGUCGGACGGGAUUCAGGAGCUUGCUUCUGAUGAGAGUGGCGCACGGGUGCGUAACACGUAUGUAACCUACCUUUAUCAGGGGGAUAGCCUCUCGAAAGAGAGAUUAGGCCCGCAUAAAAUCACAGCACAGCAUUGUGUAAUGAUCAAAUAUUUAUAGGAUAAAGAUGGGCAUGCGGAACAUUAGCUAGAUGGCGGGGUAACGGCCCACCAUGGCGACGAUGUUUAGGGGAUCUGAGAGGAUGGCCCCCCACACUGGUACUGAGACACGGACCAGACUCCUACGGGAGGCAGCAGUAAGGAAUAUUGGUCAAUGGGCGGAAGCCUGAACCAGCCAUGCCGCGUGCAGGAAGACGGCCCUACGGGUUGUAAACUGCUUUUAUACGGGAAUAAACCCAGAUACGUGUAUCUGGCUGAAUGUACUGUAGGAAUAAGGAUCGGCUAACUCCGUG